UACGUAGGGUGCGAGCGUUAAUCGGAAUUACUGGGCGUAAAGCGUGCGCAGGCGGUUCGUUAAGUCAGAUGUGAAAGCCCCGGGCUCAACCUGGGAACUGCAUUUGAAACUGGCGGGCUUGAGUGUGGCAGAGGGGGGUGGAAUUCCGCGUGUAGCAGUGAAAUGCGUAGAGAUGCGGAGGAACACCGGUGGCGAAGGCGGGUCUCUGGGCCGAUACUGACGCUGAGGAGCGAAAGCGUGGGGAGCGAACAGG
rnacentral:rRNA from 1 species